rnacentral:rRNA from 1 species
GAUGAACGCUGGCGGCGUGCCUAAUACAUGCAAGUCGAGCGAACGGACGAGAAGCUUGCUUCUCUGAUGUUAGCGGCGGACGGGUGAGUAACACGUGGAUAACCUACCUAUAAGACUGGGAUAACUUCGGGAAACCGGAGCUAAUACCGGAUGAUAUUUUGAACCGCAUGGUUCAAAAGUGAAAGACGGUCUUGCUGUCACUUAUAGAUGGAUCCGCGCUGCAUUAGCUAGUUGGUAAGGUAACGGCUUACCAAGGCAACGAUGCAUAGCCGACCUGAGUGGGUGAUCGGCCACACUGGAACUGAGACACGGUCCAGACUCCUACGGGAGGCAGCAGUAGGGAAUCUUCCGCAGUGGGCGAAAGCAUGACGGAGCAACGCCGCGUGAGUGAUGAAGGUCUUCGGAUCGUAAAACUCUGUUAUUAGGGAAGAACAUAUGUGUAAGUAACUGUGCACAUCUUGACGGUACCUAAUCAGAAAGCCACGGCUAACUACGUG